rnacentral:misc_RNA from 1 species
GAGAAAGAUAAUUGCUCCCGGCAAAAUCGUGCAAUGAACGAUGAGCUCUUGGUCCUUCAUAAUCAGGCUUGCCAAAUUCUUCCUUCAUCAAUCUUUUGCACUCAUCAGUAUCCUGUAGAAACUGUACCAUUUGCUCUUCAAUAGUUUCAUGCAUUACUAAGGUUUCAACAUGAAUAGGACGAGUAGCACCCAUCCGAUGAGCACGA